rnacentral:rRNA from 1 species
AUUGAACGCUGGCGGCAGGCCUAACACAUGCAAGUCGAACGGUAACAGAAAGCAGCUUGCUGCUUUGCUGACGAGUGGCGGACGGGUGAGUAAUGUCUGGGAAACUGCCUGAUGGAAGGGGAUAACUACUGGAAACGGUAGCUAAUACCGCAUAACGUCGCAAGACCAAAGAGGGGGACCUUCGGGCCUCUUGCCAUCGGAUGUGCCCAGAUGGGAUUAGCUAGUAGGUGGGGUAAAGGCUCACCUAGGCGACGAUCCCUAGCUGGUCUGAGAGGAUGACCAGCCACACUGGAACUGAGACACGGUCCAGACUCCUACGGGAGGCAGCAGUGGGGAAUAUUGCACAAUGGGCGCAAGCCUGAUGCAGCCAUGCCGCGUGUAUGAAGAAGGCCUUCGGGUUGUAAAGUACUUUCAGCGGGGAGGAAGGGAGUAAAGUUAAUACCUUUGCUCAUUGACGUUACCCGCAGAAGAAGCACCGGCUAACUCCGUG